rnacentral:misc_RNA from 1 species
AAAAAAAAAAAAAAAAAAAGUGGUUUUGUAAUUUUGAGCACCAACGAUUCCUCUUUGCAACACAUUUAUGCUUGCUCGAACAAUUCCCCAACAGUGAUUCUUAUUUGAUUUCCAAACCUUAAAAACUACCCUAAAAUCAUUGAAGAGCAGAAAAAAGAAUAUUCAAGAAUACAUUCACAGAUCUGAACAGCACCUCCUCUCAGGCCCUUCUACCUUUUGAAGGUCUAAGCCUGAUAAUUUCCAAACCAUUAACCACCAACUAUCCUCUGAAAAUAACCCCCUUUUACACUUCAAUUUCAUUGCUCUCAGAAAUUCCAGCAACCUAAUUUCUAAACUCCAGCCAAAAACCUAAACUCCUAUAUGAUAAAAAGGUUAAAUAGCUUGCAUCUUCACCAUAAUAUAGGAUAAGAGAACAAAGCUACUUGAUCUGGAAUUUUUUGAAAACAAGGAAACAAUCCCUAGUUAACUGUUUUAGCUGAACAACCAAAAAGUUUUCCCUUCUGGACAAUUGAAAAAAUAAAAUAAAAAAGAAGAGGUAGAAGCUAAAGAACAAUGUCUAAACUCAAUGGUACUCAGAACACAUGAUUCAUUUACUACACUCAAAGGCCAGUUGAAAAGUAGUUGUUUCCAAUGUAUCUUCAAGAGGCUCCCCAAGCAAAGUAUGAAACUCUAUAUAAUGAUUUGAUUGUCUUAUUUAUCCAAUAACCAAUAAUUAACAUGCAGGUUAGAGAGACAUCAACCUCAAUAUGCUCAAUGAAAAUCAAUUGAUUCACAACUAAGAAUAUAUUUAGACAUAACUUAAACGCAGCAAUCCAGAAAGUUAUCUAACUGAAGCAUGUAUUUGCGAGAAAAGCAGACAUAUGUUAAUAUCAAAGAAAAAUUUAUGCUUAGCAGGUAUCUGGUUCAAGUGGUUGUGCUCAAGCACAAAAGAAAAGGCUAUCAACUAAGAGCCCAUCAAAUCACAACCACGAUGGAGAUUUUUGUUUAAAUUUCUCCGUCAGCAAAACAAGAGACAGAUGUGCAAGGAGGGAAGGAAGGAGAUGAAAAGAGAAAUUGAUUGAAGCUCAAAACUCCGUAAAAACUUUCAUUGAGCUCCGCCUGCAUUUUGACAGCAGAGUCAGCACUCAGCAGAGAUCUCUCAGCCACCACGAUCUUCUCAGAUCUUACCAGAAAUCUCAAUUCUAUGGACUGAUCACCAACCACCAUCACAAUCCCGAAAAAUAAUUUACAAGUUAACGUGGGAUUAGAAAAAGAUUAAGGUUUUGUGGAGCAAUCAUCUUAUGGUGUUUAAAAGUUCUGACCCACGUUCAGUAAAUUAAUCAAUGAAAAAAAUCAGCAUAAUCCUGUUGCCAUCCCACUACAGUUAAAAAGACAUCAGAAUCAAACACAUGGAUCCAUAUAUGGAUUCUCGAUAUUCUGCAAAGAAGCCCAACUUACAACCAAAUACCUCAUCACUCAGAAGCUUAUUUCAAAACAUAAAGGCACGUAACAUAUAUAUCGGAACUUUUUCUUUGACUCGACAAAGAAUUCUUUAAGUACGGAUGAAAAAUGUAGAGAAUAACAUGCAUUAGAAGAAAAGAUAGCAGAUUUUAUGCUAAUAUUUGCACUAGAAGAUACCAAAAUAGCACCCGAGAUAAUAUGAGUUGUCAUUGUAUUCAGGUACAACUUCAUCAAACCAAAUAGAAAGUGAGUCUCCCUAAAAAAUAUCAUGAGAAAAUUUCAAAUUUAAACUUAAGCAUCCAAUAAGUUGCAGCCCAAGAUACCAUUUAACACACAUCUUAGCUACUUGGAAAUCAAUCUAUCUGUGUCCUUGAGUUCGCUGCAUAUCGUAUGCACCCCAGGAACCAGGUCCAACUCCAUAUUGGGGAUAAUUUUCAGGAGUGGCUUGCACAGGAUUCAUGCCAUAGCCAACAGGAUAAGGAUUACCAGCAUAUCCAGCUUCAGGAUUGCCAUAGUUUGCAGUAUAAGCUGGAUUACCUACAGCUGCAGUAGCACGAGCUCUCUUCUCUGCAUUAGCAAUCUCUGCACGAAGCUUUUCCAACUCCCGAGCCAUUGCAAUCAAUUUCUUCUCCAUCACCUGGCCAUGCUCAUAAUUUUCUGCAUAUCCUUUCUUCUCAUACUCAAUAGCAGCUCGUGCACGCUGCAAUUCCUGCUUCAUGCUCUCAAUUUCAGCCUUCAAAGCUGGUAAUUGUUGCAAAUCUGCAUUAUAUCUAGCUAAAUCUUGAGUCAUUGCCUGUAUACGACCAGUAAGUUCCUGCCUCACAUCACUAAGUUCCUUAAUAUCAGCACGGACAUGAUGAACCUCACUGCGCAUAGCCUCCAACUCACGAAGAUCUGUCUCCAUCCUUAGAGACUUCUCAUGCAAUUCCCUCAUCUGCACAUCCUUCUCCACAUGCAAUGAAUCUGCAAAAUGUGCCAUCCGUUGCAACUCAUGCUGGGCAGCUUCCAAUUCCUGCUUAAGUGCAACAUGGGUUGCAGCUAGUCGCUGGUUAUCAGCCAAUAAACCUUGAAUGUCUUGGUGUUGCACAGCAAGACGCUCCUCCAUUAUUGCAGGAUGGGGGGGAAGCCGCCUGGGAUCUAUCCCAAAUUGGGUUUCUCUCAUUUCCUCCAGUAGGGCUGGAUGGGGAUGGGGGGGCAUUGGUCCAAGCCCUCUGCCAAAAUGUGCUUCAUGGAUGGCAGGUGGUAGGCCAGCGUGAGGUAAGCCUUUCAUUGGAAUAGGGGGGCCGCGAUUUCUCCCAGACAUUCUUUCUCUUAAAGAUUAAAUGAUCUUUUAAAGUUCAGUUCUUAAAGAAACAAUUCAGAUGUCUUUCUGAUCCAAUCUGGAAUCAGAGUUCCCCGCGGAAGUGAACGCCAAAUGUGCUUCACAUCAACACCAGCAAUUCCUCUAUUGGGUAGCCAAGAAAAGAAUCAAUAAAUCAAAAUCCCGUAAAGACAAAGGCAAAAAUCCGAGAAAGAAACACCAAUCCACGAAAGGGGAACGAAAAGAAAAAGAGUGAAAUAGUGUUGUUUCUUACAUAAGAAGUGAGUUUGGGAUGCGAAGAAUUUAAACGAGGCAAUGAUUUUGGCGAGAGUCUCUCUUGCCCCUACAUAAAGAGAAUUCUCAUCGUAGAAUCGACGGGAAUGAAAUCCUGAACGCUUUCUACAAUGAAUUAGGUUUUUAAUUAUUAAACCCUAACCUUUGUUUGGAUUGAGGGGAAAAGGGGAAAAAAAAAUUUGUUGCU